rnacentral:lncRNA from 1 species
UUUUAUCCACAGUCAUGUUUAAUAUUUUUAUUAAUAACUUAAUUGAUAAUAUAAAAGCAUUAAAUAUUGGUAUAGACAUUGACGGCGAAAAGGUUGCUAUUUUAUUAUAUGCAGAUGAUCUUGUUUUAUUGUCUGAAAAUACAGAAGAUAUGCAGAAAUUGAUUAAUGUAUUAGUUGUAUGGUGUAAUGAUAAUUGUUUAAAAGUUAAUUUAAAUAAAUCAAAA